rnacentral:lncRNA from 1 species
AAAAAUUUCUGAAUUUGCUAGCUGGCUGCCUGCCAUGGCAGUCAGCCUUCUCUUUCUCCCAAAAAAUAAUCUACCCAAAGCAACUCCACUUUUAGCUAAUGGUUUUUUCCUUUUGGCAGUCACCUUAUUCUCCCUCCCCUUAAUUUGUGAAAGGUCUAGGGGUUAGGCAGCAAGCACGCGAGAGGCGUUUUCAAAACCCUCUUCCCACUUAUAAAAAGGACAAAAAAUAAAAACCAAAGGGAGAAUAAAGAGAGGAGAACCCUAAAAUUCUAACAGCGUCAUACCAACGAAAAAAAGAAACCCAUCCACAAAAUAUAACCGACAGACAAACAUCCAGAGAAUACCAAAAAGAGAACGGAAAGGGGAGUUUCAGCCGCGGGUAUUCUAAGGUUCCUUUGGGGUUCUUGGUUUCGGGUCUUUCAAGGUAGUCUCUAGGUUGUUUGCUACGGUGACAAGGAGAGCAAUGGAGGAGAGAGGGCUGCUGGGUGCGACAGCAGUGUGGAAAUGUAGCACAUAAGGGCGGUUCUUGGAAAUUUUUAGAGAAAGGAAAAGAGAGAGAGGGAAGAUAAGAAGAGGAGGCUAUGGGGUUUUAGUUUUUUAGGUUAGCAACAUUAAGCCCCAAACGGUGUAGUUUUCAGCAGGGAGAGAAAGAAAAAUGAAAGAAAGAAAUAACAAGCAAAGAAACAAAAAAAAUGCAAAAAAGAAAAGAAAAGAGAAAAAGGAAGCACAGGAAAGAAUGAAAAACAUGAAAACAAAGGAAACAAAAGAGAAAAAAAGAUGCAAAGGAAAGAAAAAAAAUGGAAAAAAGGAAAGAAACGAAAAGAGAAAAGAAGGAUUUAAGUUAAAAAAAAAAGGAAAAAAUGAAUAAUGGGAUAAGGAAGGGAGUCGUGCUGAAAGCGUGUCUGGCUUGCCUGGAGGUCCAGGUUGCACUCCGAGCAAGCGCAUUUAAUUUUUGGAGACGGAUAACAAGAGAUGUAGUAGGGCGCACGGCCCAGACAAAGCGAAAGAAGCGAAAGCCCAGCAGGGGAGGUAAAGGAAAGAAGAAUUAUCUAACUCCAGGUGAGGCAUGCUCCGCAGCCUGUUUCUUUUGUUAGUAGAUUUACACUUGUUAUUUUGUUUAGGUAUUUUUAGCACAGUUAAUAGACUUUUUACAUUUUAGAAAAAUAUAAGCCAUGAAAAUAAUAAAAUUGAUGCUUAUAAAAAUAUAGAAAAACUUAUAAUUAAGUUAUUAUAUAAUGAAAAUGAUAACAAUGUUAUAUUAUAAGCAUGUUUGCCACUCCUUGACCUGAGGAAGA